UACGGGGGGGGCAAGCGUUGUUCGGAAUUACUGGGCGUAAAGGGCUCGUAGGCGGCCAAUUAAGUCGGAUGUGAAAUCCCCAAGCUUAACUUGGGAACUGCAUCCGAUACUGGAUGGCUUGAAUCCGGGAGAGGGAUGCAGAAUUCCAGGUGUAGCGGUGAAAUGCGUAGAGAUGUGGAGGAACACCAGUGGCGAAGGCGGCUCUUUGGCCUGUAACUGACACUGAGGCGCGAAAGCGUGGGGAGCAAACAGG
rnacentral:rRNA from 1 species